rnacentral:rRNA from 1 species
GGGUCAGUAGGUUGGUCUUGCCACCGGUACGUACUGGUCUCACUGAUUCCUCCUUCCUGAAGAACCGUAAUGCCAUUAAUUUGGUGUUGCGGGGAAACAGGACUGUUACUUUGAAAAAAUUAGAGUGUUUAAAGCAAGCUAACGCUUGAAUAUAUUAGCAUGGAAUAAUGAAAUAGGACGAUCGAUCCUAUUUUGUUGGUUUCUAGGAUUGACGUA